rnacentral:rRNA from 1 species
GAUGAACGCUGGCGGCGUGCCUAAUACACGCAAGUCGAGCGAACGGACGAGAAGCUUGCUUCUCUGAUGUUAGCGGCGGACGGGUGAGUAACACGUGGAUAACCUACCUAUAAGACUGGGAUAACCUCGGGAAACCGGAGCUAAUACCGGAUGAUAUUUUGAACCGCAUGGUUCAAAAGUGAAAGACGGUCUUGCUGUCACUUAUAGAUGGAUCCGCGCUGCAUUAGCUAGUUGGUAAGGUAACGGCUUACCAAGGCAACGAUGCAUAGCCGACCUGAGAGGGUGAUCGGCCACACUGGAACUGAGACACGGUCCAGACUCCUACGGGAGGCAGCAGUAGGGAAUCUUCCGCAAUGGGCGAAAGCCUGACGGAGCAACGCCGCGUGAGUGAUGAAGGUCUUCGGAUCUUAAAACUCUGUUAUUAGGGAAGAACAUAUGUGUAAGUAACUGUGCACAUCUUGACGGUACCUAAUCAGAAAGCCACGGCUAACUACGUG